rnacentral:rRNA from 1 species
GACGCCGCGUGAGGGAUGAAGGUCUUCGGAUCGUAAACCUCUGUCAGCAGGGAAGAACGGUCACUGUGCUAAUCAGCAGUGAAUUGACGGUACCUGCAAAGGAAGCACCGGCUAACUCCGUGCC